rnacentral:rRNA from 1 species
GAUGCAUAGCCCGAGUUGAGAGACUGAUCGGGCCACAUUGGGGACUGAGACACGGGCCCAAACUCCUACGGGAGGCAGCAGGUAAGGGAAUCUUCCACAAUGGACAAAGUCUGAUGGAGCAAACGCCGCGUGAGUGAAGAAGGUUUUCGGAUCGUAAAGCUCUGUUGUUGGUGAAGAAGGAUAGAGGUAGUAACUGGCCCUUUAUUUGACGGUAAUCAACCAGAAAGUCACGGGCUAACUACGUGCCAGCAGCCGCGGUAAAU